rnacentral:rRNA from 1 species
CAUCAUUCAGUUGGGCACUCUAGCAAGACUGCCGGUGACAAACCGGAGGAAGGUGGGGAUGACGUCAAAUCAUCAUGCCCCUUAUGACCUGGGCUACACACGUGCUACAAUGGGAAGUACAACGAGUUGCGAAGUCGCGAGGCUAAGCUAAUCUCUUAAAGCUUCUCUCAGUUCGGAUUGCAGGCUGCAACUCGCCUGCAUGAAGCCGGAAUCGCUAGUAAUCGCGGAUCAGCACGCCGCGGUGAAUACGUUCCCGGGCCUUGUACACACCGCCCGUCACACCACGAGAGUUUGUAACACCCGAAGUCGGUGAGGUAACCUUUUGGAGCCAGCCGCCUAAGGUGGGAUAGAUGAUUGGGGUGAAGUCGUAACAAGGUAGCCGUAUCGGAAGGUGCGGCUGGAUCACCUCCUUU